rnacentral:rRNA from 1 species
UACGGGGGGGGCAAGCGUUGUUCGGAAUUACUGGGCGUAAAGGGCUCGUAGGUGGCCUUCUAAGUCAGACGUGAAAUCCCUCGGCUUAACCGGGGAACUGCGUCUGAUACUGGAAGGCUUGAAUUCGGGAGAGGGACGUGGAAUUCCAGGUGUAGCGGUGAAAUGCGUAGAUAUCUGGAGGAACACCGGUGGCGAAGGCGGCGUCCUGGACCGAUAUUGACACUGAGGAGCGAAAGCCAGGGGAGCAAACGGG